AGAACGGCCAUCUAGUUGUGACAUCUGUCAUCUCAUUGUUCUUGAUGCUUAAUUCAGCUGAUCUGACUGACUAGGUGGCCUCCCUCGCUACUCUGCAUGUCCCUCUAGAAGGCUUGGGCUCAGCUGAGUGAGGCAGCCUUCCCUGACAAGGAAGAUGUUUCUUCAGUGCAGGGCAUGUUAUAGGCUGUGAUCUCUCUCUAGAACUGCCCAAUAAGCUAGGAAGAAAAAAAUGUUGGUUUGAUUUACUGUUUGAGGGAAUACAUGUCAGGGAAGGCAUGCCAGUGGGUGGCUUUUU
rnacentral:snRNA from 1 species